rnacentral:rRNA from 1 species
CUGGCUCAGGAUGAACGCUAGCGACAGGCCUAACACAUGCAAGUCGAGGGGCAGCGCGGGAGAAGCUUGCUUUCCUGGCGGCGACCGGCGCACGGGUGCGUAACAGGUGUGCAAUCUGUCCAUAGUCGGGGGAUAGCCCAGCGAAAGCUGAAUUAACACUCCAUGUGAAUCGAAGCCGCAUGACUUUGAUUUGAAACGCAAGGACUAUGGGUGAGCACGCUUCUGAUUAGCUAGUUGGUGGGGUAACGGCUCACCAAGGCGACGAUCAGUAGGGGUUCUGAGAGGAAGGUCCCCCACAUUGGAACUGAGACACGGUCCAAACUCCUACGGGAGGCAGCAGUGAGGAAUAUUGGUCAAUGGGCGAGAGCCUGAACCAGCCAAGUCGCGUGAAAGGAUGAAGGUUCUAUGGAUUGUAAACUUCUUUUGUCCGAGGGUAAAAAAGGCCACGUGUGGCUUCUUGCAAGUAUCGGACGAAUAAGCAUCGGCUAACUCCGUGCCAGCAGCAGC